GACGAACGCUGGCGGCGUGCUUAACACAUGCAAGUCGAGCGGUAAGGCCCUUUCGGGGGUACACGAGCGGCGAACGGGUGAGUAACACGUGGGUGACCUGCCCUCAGCUCUGGGAUAAGCCUGGGAAACCGGGUCUAAUACCGGAUAUGACUCCAUGACGCAUGUUGUGGGGUGGAAAGCCUUGUGCGGCUGAGGAUGGGCCCGCGGCCUAUCAGCUUGUUGGUGGGGUGAUGGCCUACCAAGGCGACGACGGGUAGCCGGCCUGAGAGGGCGACCGGCCACACUGGGACUGAGACACGGCCCAGACUCCUACGGGAGGCAGCAGGUGGGGAAUCUUGCGCAAUGGGCGAAAGCCUGACGCAGCGACGCCGCGUGAGGAUGACG
rnacentral:rRNA from 1 species